GAGAGGGGCUGUGCGAGAAACCCCGGUCGGGUGGGAAGAGCACCCAGAGCUGGUGUUAGCUUCUAGCUCCGUAAAAACUACAGACCUCAGAGGGAUGAUGUGGCAGGCUGUUUUCCUUCACAAGCAAGUACAUGUCAAACCAUUUCCCUUUCAUUAGGCUGAAACUCUAUUUAUUUUAGCACUGGCUUUCACAACAUGAAAUUACCAAGAAUCUCCACCCAGCCUUUUCAACUAACUCGGGAAAAGUGGACAUGUCAGUCUCCUGACUGCCUUUGCCUAGGCUCCGAACCCAGCAUCCAGAGAAGAUCCGUGACAGCAACUGCCAGGUGCAGAGAUGUCUCAAAACAGAAGGAACCCACCAGUCGGAUGCAUCGCCACCCCGUGCCGCCUGAGCAAGCCACAGGCUCUGACCUGUGAAUUUUAAAUUGAUUACUAUCUCACAACUGUGAUGGGAUCUCUUUGCUGUAGAAGUCAAGAGAAUUGUACGACAAACCUGUUUUCUCCCCUUUUCCUUGGGUGACCCUACUGGGAGAUGAGACACCAAAUGGCCUAGUCUGUGCCUAGGCUACAGGACCAGGACCCUAAUCAGCACCAUAAACCUGUACUAAAAUGAGCUUAAAGUAAUAGUUACAUUCUGCACAUAAAGCCAUAUGAAGUAGAGCAUUAGUAGAAGUAUGGCAUUGAUUUAAUCAUACACAGAGACACGCACUCAUUCUGAAAUCAACCACCACUUUAAAGUGUCAUCCCUUCUCUGUGAUCUGUCCCUGCACUUCCAUUUUGGCUGACUGAUGCUGCAGACUGAAAUACAGGUUUCCCCACAGUGGGGCCUCUCUAGCUUGGCAUUCUCAGUGUAUUUGGACUGUGUGUGUACUUAGUUGGAGAAAGGGUCAGGAUUUCAUACUGAGGAAGGGUAGAAACAUCUUUUAGCCUCACUCCAAGAGACAUUAGCUUUCAGAAGCUUUUGCAAGGACCAUGUUGUUUCCUAUUGGCUAUUUCAGAGUCAGAAAGAAACUCCUUGAAGUCCUGAAGGACAAAACUCUGAUUUGCAACAGCAUUUUCCUCCUUCUUUGUUCAUUUCCUUCAGGUCUGGGCUGUGGCUCCUCGUGACACACCACCUCCCAGACGUACUAUGGAACAGUGCCCUUAGAUCCUGUGGAGCAUUAAGAUUCAAACAAUCCAAGCUACAAUUAUGACUGAGCACAAGAAAAGGCCAAAACAUUUAAUCUGAUGUCUCAGAGACCUGGACUUUCUCAGAUGAUAUGGUUCUAUGAAGCAGCAUGCUCAGAAGUUAGUGAUGUAUCUUAAGUGUAAUUCACAUUCCUAUCUAUCUUGCACUACAUGUUAAUAAAGUUCGUGUUUGAAAUACAACCAAUCUUUCAUCUUAUUCAACUUAAAUAAGAGCUACAGCAUGCAAAAUAAUCAGAAUAUUUUCUGAAAUCUAUA